rnacentral:rRNA from 1 species
GUCGAGCGAGACCUUCGGGUCUAGCGGCGCGACGUGGUGAGUAACGCGUGGGAACGUGCCCUUUGCUACGGAAUAGCCCCGGGAAACUGGGAGUAAUACCGUAUGUGCCCUUCGGGGGAAAGAUUUAUCGGCAAAGGAUCGGCCCGCGUUGUGAUUAGGUAGUUGGUGGGGUAAUGGCCUACCAAGCCGACGAUCCAUAGCUGGUUUGAGAGGAUGAUCAGCCACACUGGGACUGAGACACGGCCCAGACUCCUACGGGAGGCAGCAGUGGGGAAUCUUAGACAAUGGGGGAAACCCUGAUCUAGCCAUGCCGCGUGAGCGAUGAAGGCCUUAGGGUUGUAAAGCUCUUUCAGGUGGGAAGAUAAUGACGGUACCACCAGAAGAAGCCCCGGCUAACUCCGUGCCAGCAGCCGCGGUAAUACGGAGGGGGCUAGCGUUGUUCGGAAUUACUGGGCGUAAAGCGCACGUAGGCGGAUCAGAAAGUCAGAGGUGAAAUCCCAGGGCUCAACCUUGGAACUGCCUUUGAAACUCCUGGUCUUGAGGUCGAGAGAGGUGACUGGAAUUCCGAGUGUACGAGGUGAGAUUCRUAGAUAUUCAGGAGGAACACCAGUGGCGAAGGCGGCUCACUGGCUCGAUACUGACGCGUGAGGUGCGAAAGCGUGAGGGAGCAAAUCAUGAUUAGAUAUCCUCUGGUAGUCUCACGCCGGUAACAGCGGAUGAAUAGCCAGUCUGUCRGCAGGCAUGCCUGUCGGUGACACACCUACACGGAUUAAGCAUUCCGCCUGGCGGAGUACGGUCGCAAGAUUARAACUCAACAGGAAUUGACGGGGGCCCGCACAAGCGGUGGAGCAUGUAGGUUUAAUUCGAAGCAACGCGCAGAACCUUAACCAACCCUUGACAUCGGGAUCGCGGUUACCGGAGACGGUUUCACUUCAGUUCGGCUGGAUCCCAGACAGGGUGCUGCAUGGCUGUCGUCAGCUCGUGUCGCUGAGAUGUUCGGUUAAGUCCGGCAACGAGCGCAACCCACACUUUCAGUUGCCAUCAUUCAGUUGGGCACUCUCGAAGAACUACCGAUGAUAAGUCGGAGGAAGGUGUGGAUGACGUCAAGUCCUCAUGGCCCUUACGGGUUGGGCUACACACGUGCUACAAUGGUGGUGACAAUGGGCCAAUCCCAAAAAGCCAUCUCAGUUCGGAUUGGGGUCUGCAACUCUACCCCACGAAGUCGGAAUCGCUAGUAAUAGCGUAACAGCAUGACGCGCUGAAUACGUUCCCGGGCCUCGUACACACCGCCCGUCACACCAUGGGAAUUGGGUCUACCCUAAGAGAGUGCGCCAACCCUAA